rnacentral:rRNA from 1 species
CCCUUAGAUGUUCUGGGCCGCACGCGUGCUACACUGAGUGGAUCAGCGGGUCAGGUUGCGCGAAAGCGUUUCCUAAUCUUGAAAUCCGCUCGUGAUGGGGAUUGACGGUUGCAAUUUUCUGUCAUGAACGAGGAAUACCUUGUAAGCGCGAGUCAUCAUCCCGCGCUGAAUACGUCCCUGCCCUUUGUACACACCGCCCGUCGCCCCUACCGAUUGAGUGGUCCGGUGAGGCUUUGGGAUCUGAGCGGAAAGAGCGUUUCGCUCGUUCUGCCCGGAAAACUCAGUCGAACCUUAUCAUUUAGAGGAAGGAGAAGUCGUAACA